GCAUAGUUAGUAUAUAAAAUAUAUUAGAUUUAGAUUCUAAAGAAAAACUUAUGUU
rnacentral:tRNA from 1 species